rnacentral:misc_RNA from 1 species
GACAGACCUGCGUGGCAUGAUCCCU